AUUGAACGCUGGCGGCAGGCCUAACACAUGCAAGUCGAGCGGAUGAAGGGAGCUUGCUCCUGGAUUCAGCGGCGGACGGGUGAGUAAUGCCUAGGAAUCUGCCUGGUAGUGGGGGAUAACGUCCGGAAACGGGCGCUAAUACCGCAUACGUCCUGAGGGAGAAAGUGGGGGAUCUUCGGACCUCACGCUAUCAGAUGAGCCUAGGUCGGGUUAGCUAGUUGGUGGGGUAAAGGCCUACCAAGGCGACGAUCCGUAACUGGUCUGAGAGGAUGAUCAGUCACACUGGAACUGAGACACGGUCCAGACUCCUACGGGAGGCAGCAGUGGGGAAUAUUGGACAAAGGGCGAAAGCCUGAUCCAGCCAUGCCGCGUGUGUGAAGAAGGUCUUCGGAUUGUAAAGCACUUUAAGUUGGGAGGAAGGGCAGUAAGUUAAUACCUUGCUGUUUUGACGUUACCAACAGAAUAAGCACCGGCUAACUUCGUG
rnacentral:rRNA from 1 species